rnacentral:lncRNA from 1 species
UAUAUUAUCAGAAAAUCAGCAUCUUGGUUUACUUCCCUUUAGCUCUUGGACACAACCCAGUAUAGCUUUAAACUUAAAUUGUUCGUCUAAUCUUUUCAUAUAAGAGCAUUGAACACAUGUUUAAGGUAAAACUUGUACUUUAAUGUGUAAGUUAAUUAUAAUUUAACAUUCCCAUUGACUUUUAUUUCAAGCAUGUGAAGUGGAUGUUUCCCUAUGAAUUUGUUUUAAAUAGGAAGUAUGA